UGCAACGACGAAGAACCUUACCUGGUCUUGACAUCCCGGAGAACCCUUAGGAAACGUAGGGGUGGUCUUCCAUCUGGAAGAAUCUGGAGACAGGUGCUGCAUGGCUGUCGUCAGCUCGUGUCGUGAGAUGUUGGGUUAAGUCCCGCAACGAGCGCAACCCUUGCCUUUAGUUGCCAGCAGUUCGGCUGGCACUCUAAAGGGACUGCCGGUGUUAAACCGGAGGAAGGUGGGGAUGACGUCAAGUCCUCAUGGCCUUUAUGACCAGGGCUACACACGUACUACAAUGGCCGAUACAAAGGGCAGCGACACUGCGAGGUGAAGCCAAUCCCGUAAAAUCGGUCUCAGUCCGGAUUGGAGUCUGCAACUCGACUCCAUGAAGUUGGAAUCGCUAGUAAUCGUGGAUCAGCAUGCCACGGUGAAUACGUUCCCGGGCCUU
rnacentral:rRNA from 1 species